AGAGUUUUAGAAGACUCUCGGUUAUUAAGGUCACUGCUUAACAAAGCGAUCUUGAUAGCCGCUGACGUACUAAGGAGUUAUGUAUUGGAGCUUACCUGUUUGCUCUUACGGUAAUGAGGACGGCCCGACGUUCGGGGAUGUUGCAUUGCGCUUUCUAUUUAAAGCAGUGUGCAUCCUCGCUUCAGAGGGCUUGUGGCGGAGAAUUUAACCAUUACUCACUUCGCGUACCCAUCUUUCUGACACGCUCCUAGGGUAUCAUAAUCCCCUCUUUUCAUCGAAAAACUUAUAUACAUACAAGAGGGAUGAUUAUAGUGAUUGUGUUAGUUCAGAUCUAUCUUUCCUUCGGAACCUUGGCAAAGGUUGUGGCAGAGAGUUUUAGAAGACUCUCGGUUAUUAAGGUCACUGCUUAACAAAGCGAUCUUGAUAGCCGCUGACGUACUAAGGAGUUAUGUAUUGGAGCUUACCUGUUUGCUCUUACGGUAAUGAGGACGGCCCGACGUUCGGGGAUGUUGCAUUGCGCUUUCUAUUUAAA
rnacentral:lncRNA from 1 species